AUGGGCUCGCAGGGCAGCCUGGUGAAGAGCUACGACUUACCUUCUCAAGUUCCUGCUGGUGGGCAAGGGCGAGAUCCUGGAGAGCUUGCAGGACUGCGCGGCCGAGUCCCCGUAUGCCUACAGCAACAGGAUCGACUACAAGGCCACCACCAUCCUGCUGGACGGCCAGCGCGUGAAGCUGGAGCUCUGGGACACGUCCGGCCAGGGCUGGUUUUGCACCAUCUUGAGGUCCUACUCCAGGGGCGCUCAGGGGAUCCUUCUGAUGUAUGGCGUCACCAACCGCUGGACUUUUGACAGCAUCGACUGCUGGAUCAAGGAGAUCAACGAGCAUGCGCCCGGAGUCCCCGGAUCUUGGUUGGAAACCGGCUGCACCUGCCCUUCAAGCGGCGGAGUCCUAACGGACCAGGCCGGCGCAUACGCAGAGAAGAACUGCAUGACCUUUUUCCGAGGUCAGCACCCUGUGCAACUUCAACGUCAUCGAGUCCUUCACGGAGCUGUCCCUCAUCGCACUCAGGCGGCACGACAUGGAGAAGAUCUGGAGGCCCAACUGAGUGUUCAGCCUGCAGGGCCUCUGCUGCCGGGCCAUCGUCUCCUGCACCCCGGCGCACCUCAUCGACAAGCUUCCACUGCCCGUCACCAUCAAGCCACCUCAAGUCCUUCUCUAUGGCCAACGGCAUGAACGCGGUCAUGAUGCACGGCCGCUCCUACUCCCUGGCCAGCAGGGACGGGGCGGUGGCAGCAAGGGCAAUAGCCUGAAGAGGUCCAAGUCCAUCCGCCAGCCCCAGAGCCCCUCCCCUCCCCUCAACUGCUCACGGAGCAACUGUAGUAUCUCCUAG